GACGAACGCUGGCGGCGUGCCUAAUACAUGCAAGUAGAACGCUGAAGGAGGAGCUUGCUUCUCUGGAUGAGUUGCGAACGGGUGAGUAACGCGUAGGUAACCUGCCUGGUAGCGGGGGAUAACUAUUGGAAACGAUAGCUAAUACCGCAUAAGAGUAGAUGUCGCAUGACAUUUGCUUAAAAGGUGCAAUUGCAUCACUACCAGAUGGCCCUGCGUUGUAUUAGCUAGUUGGUGAGGUAACGGCUCACCAAGGCAACGAUACAUAGCCGACCUGAGAGGGUGAGCGGCCACACUGGGACUGAGACACGGCCCAGACUCCUACGGGAGGCAGCAGUAGGGAAUCUUCGGCAAUGGACGGAAGUCUGACCGAGCAACGCCGCGUGAGUGAAGAAGGUUGUCGGAUCGUAAAGCUCUGUUGUAAGAGAAGAACGAGUGUGAGAGUGGAAAGUUCACACUGUGACGGUAUCUUACCAGAAAGGGACGGCUAACUACGUG
rnacentral:rRNA from 1 species